rnacentral:rRNA from 1 species
GACGAACGCUGGCGGCGUGCCUAAUACAUGCGAGUCGAGCGAGCUUGCCUAGAUGAAUUUGGUGCUUGCACCAGAUGAAACUAGAUACAAGCGAGCGGCGGACGGGUGAGUAACACGUGGGUAACCUGCCCAAGAGACUGGGAUAACACCUGGAAACAGAUGCUAAUACCGGAUAACAACACUAGACGCAUGUCUAGAGUUUAAAAGAUGGUUCUGCUAUCACUCUUGGAUGGACCUGCGGUGCAUUAGCUAGUUGGUAAGGCAACGGCUUACCAAGGCAAUGAUGCAUAGCCGAGUUGAGAGACUGAUCGGCCACAUUGGGACUGAGACACGGCCCAAACUCCUACGGGAGGCAGCAGUAGGGAAUCUUCCACAAUGGACGCAAGUCUGAUGGAGCAACGCCGCGUGAGUGAAGAAGGGUUUCGGCUCGUAAAGCUCUGUUGGUAGUGAAGAAAGAUAGAGGUAGUAACUGGCCUUUAUUUGACGGUAAUUACUUAGAAAGUCACGGCUAACUACGUG